rnacentral:rRNA from 1 species
UACGGAGGAUGCGAGCGUUAUCCGGAUUUAUUGGGUUUAAAGGGUGCGUAGGCGGGUUAUCAAGUCAGCGGUAAAAUCGUGGAGCUCAACUCCAUCCAGCCGUUGAAACUAUGAUCUUGAGUGGGCGAGAAGUAUGCGGAAUGCGUGGUGUAGCGGUGAAAUGCAUAGAUAUCACGCAGAACUCCGAUUGCGAAGGCAGCAUACCGGCGCCCGACUGACGCUGAAGCACGAAAGCGUGGGUAUCGAACAGG